rnacentral:rRNA from 1 species
UGUGGUUUAAUUCGAUGCAACGCGAGAACCUUACCUGGUCUUGACAUCCACGGAAGUUUUCAGAGAUGAGAAUGUGCCUUCGGAACGUGAGACAGGUGCUGCAUGGCUGUCGUCAGCUCGUGUUGUGAAAUGUUGGGUUAAGUCCCGCAACGAGCCGCAACCCUUAUCCUUUGUUGCCAGCGGUCCGGCCGGGAACUCGAAGGAGACUGCCAGUGAUAAACUGGAGGAAGGUGGGAUGACGUCAAGUCAUCAUGGCCCUUACGACCAGGGCUACACACGUGCUACAAUGGCGCAUACAAAGAGAAGCGACCUCGCGAGAGCAAGCGGACCUCAUAAAGUGCGUCGUAGUCCGGAUUGGAGUCUGCAACUCGACUCCAUGAAGUCGGAAUCGCUAGUAAUCGUGGAUCAGAAUGCCACGGUGAAUACGUUCCCGGGCCUU